rfam:Hymenobacter sp. CRA2 NODE_1_length_914755_cov_118.788_ID_1867, whole genome shotgun sequence.
ACAAUGGAGAGUUUGAUCCUGGCUCAGGAUGAACGCUAGCGGCAGGCCUAAUACAUGCAAGUCGAACGGGCGGUAGCAAUACCGCUAGUGGCGCACGGGUGCGUAACGCGUAGGCAAUCUGCC